GGUUUUGGUCAUUAGAAAAAGCUAAAGACCUGAUCCCGUCUGAUCUCAGAAGGUAAGCAGGGUCGGGCUUAGUUAGUACUUGGAUAGGAGACCACUUAGGAAGACCAGGUGCUAUAGGCA
rnacentral:rRNA from 1 species